UACGAAGGGGGCUAGCGUUGCUCGGAAUUAUUGGGCGUAAAGCGCGUGUAGGCGGCUUGGCAAGUCAGAUGUGAAAGCCCUCGGCUUAACCGAGGAAGUGCGUCUGAAACUGCUGAGCUUGAGUGUCGGAGAGGAUGGCGGAAUUCCGCAAGUAGAGGUGAAAUUCGUAGAUAUGCGGAGGAACACCAGUGGCGAAGGCGGCUCACUGGACCGGCAUUGACGCUGAUGUGCGAAAGCGUGGGGAGCAAACAGG
rnacentral:rRNA from 1 species